UGAGCGGAAGAAAGACGGUGACGCCUCUGGGAUUUGGUUUAAAUGGAUAAACAAAUACCCUGCCUACGAUCGCAUUGAUUUUCCGAAAAUUCUGAUGUAAAUCAAGAAUAAAUGUAUUCCACACAUUUGAUAUGGACACUUGUACCCUUGUGUAAAGGGUAUAUGAACAUGUCCAUCAAAUCAGAGCGAACAAAUAACUAAACGAGGUGCUAAAAGAUCCCCCAUUUGUAGUUGGUCAUCGAGGCCUUAAAUUGAAAAUGCAAGCCUACGGAAAGUGCGAAAUAUGAAUCCAGAACCAGAUCGGGCAAGAGAGCGACAAAUAGUUGAGAUGUGGAGAGGGGAGGACUGCUGCCCGAGGCCCUCCCCCCACUCACAGACACAUACGGUAGCAGCGUAUUUAAAUUGGGCAACUGAUUCAUGGGACAUUGGGCAUUACCCAAAAUGUUGAUAAGCAUCGCGUUUAAUUAAUUACUCGACAAGUACAUAUGCUAGUUGGCUUUGAUGUAUCGACGUAUCACAAGUGUCCGCCUGUAAAUCCAAGUGUAUUUAAAUAAAUUUAAAAUGAAUUGUAAUUGA